rnacentral:rRNA from 1 species
UAGGGAAUAUUGGGCAAUGGAGGGAACUCUGACCCAGCCAUGCCGCGUGCAGGAUGAAGGCGUUAUGCGUUGUAAACUGCUUUUAUAUAGGAAGAAAUAGUCCUUGCGAGGAAAGUUGACGGUACUAUAUGAAUAAGCACCGGCUAACUCCGUGCCAGCAGCCGCGGUAAUACGGAGGGUGCAAGCGUUGUCCGGAUUUAUUGGGUUUAAAGGGUGCGUAGGCGGUUUAUUAAGUCAGUGGUGAAAGGCGGUCGCUCAACGAUUGCAGUGCCAUUGAUACUGGUAGACUUGAGUAUGAUUGAGGUAGCUGGAAUGGAUAGUGUAGCGGUGAAAUGCAUAGAUAUUAUCCAGAACACCAAUUGCGUAGGCAAGUUACUAAGUCAUAACUGACGCUGAGGCACGAAAGUGUGGGUAUCAAACAGGAUUAGAUACCCCCGUAGUCCCUGAGCGGGCUGGCAAGGCGCAU